GCCAGCGGCCAUAUCACCCUGCAACUAACAACUGGCAACCCUACUGAAGCUCAGCGGGUGUGAGCCUGGUCAGUACCUGAAUGGGAGACCUCCUGGGAAAAACUAAGGUUCCUACUGGAA
rnacentral:rRNA from 1 species